rnacentral:lncRNA from 1 species
CCCCAACCCGCGCCUCACCUUCUGCCUCAAGACCUACGAGCGCCUGUUCUGGCUGGUGGCGCCGAGCGCCGAGGCGCUGCGCAUCUGGAUGGACGCCGUGCUGACGCUGACGCGCGGCGCCGCCGCCUUCUGACGCCGGAGCCUUCGCCGGACCUUUCCGGAAUUUUCCUGACCUUUACCAGCCUUUUAUUGCCUUUUCCCAGCAUUUUCUGGCCUUUUCCAGCCUUUUCCAGGCCUUUUAUUGCCUUUUUCCGGCCUUUUCUGGGCCUUUUCCUGACUUUUUAUUGCCUUUUUCCAGCAUUUUCUGGUCUUUUCCCAGCAUUUUCUGGCCUUUUCCGGAGUUUUCCGGCCUUUUCCUGACCUUUUAUUGCCCUUUUCUUGCCUUUUCCGGGCCUUUUCCCCUCACCCUUGUGGCCUUUUCUGGCUUUUUCCGGCCUUUUCUAGCAUUUUCUGGGCCUUUUCUGGCAUCUUCCUGACCUUUUUCCAGCAUUUUCCGGCAUUUUCCAGCCUUUUCUGGCUUUUUCUUGGCCUUUUCCGGCAUUUUCCCGCCUUUUUCCCCUCACGUUUUCCCGCCCUUUUUCCCCUCACGUUUUCCCGCCCUUUUCUCCCCUCAAAAUCCCCCUUUUCUCCCCAAAAUGGAACUGGGAGCCCCGAGCCCUUACUGGGAGCACUGGGAGCACUGGGAGCUUCCCCUCCUUGUAUUUAUUAAAGGUUUUUUUGGGAAAAAAACUCCUUUUCUGGUCAUUUUUGGGUUGGGGGAGGGGCUGGCUGGGCCUUAACGAGCUUUUUCUAAUGAUUAUUAUAAAUUAUUAUUAUUAUUAUUAUCAUUAUUAUUAUUAU